rnacentral:rRNA from 1 species
ACCCCUCUGUGAACCACAAAACCUUUGCUUCGGCAGCGGGCAUGACCCUUCACCGGGCCAUCGUCGUAAGCCUGCCAACAGCAUCAACUUUAAACUUGCUUUCGAACCUUGUCUUUAAAACAUAUCAUUUUCGAAUGAAAAUCAAAACUUUCAACAACGGAUCUCUUGGUUCUCGCAUCGAUGAAGAACGCAGCGAAACGCGAUAGUUAAUGUGAAUUGCAGAAUUCAGUGAAUCAUCGAGUCUUUGAACGCACAUUGCGCCUUUUGGUAUUCCGAAAGGCAUGUCUGUUUGAGCGUCAUUUCAACACCCCUCGACGAACUCGUUUCGUCGGUCUUGAGCGUGGGACCGUGCGAAAGCACUCCCCGCUUUAAAGUUGAACGCUCUGCGGGCGACUCUGCCGAACCGAACAUAGUAAUAGCUUUUGCCUUGUUCCGCCAGGCUUUGGGUCGUUCUGCCUGAACAAAAAAUCUUUCUUAGGUUUGACCUCAGA